GGGGAUUUGCCAUGGGGGAACCCUGAUGCAGCCUGCCGCGUGUGUGAAGAAGGCCUUCGGGUUGUAAAGCACUUUCAGUUGUGAGGAAAAGUUAGUAGUUAAUACCUGCUAGCCGUGACGUUAACAACAGAAGAAGCACCGGCUAACUCCGUGCCAGCAGCCGCGGUAAUACGGAGGGUGCGAGCGUUAAUCGGAAUUACUGGGCGUAAAGCGCACGCAGGCGGUUUGUUAAGCUAGAUGUGAAAGCCCCGGGCUCAACCUGGGAUGGUCAUUUAGAACUGGCAGACUAGAGUCUUGGAGAGGGGAGUGGAAUUCCAGGUGUAGCGGUGAAAUGCGUAGAUAUCUGGAGGAACAUCAAGUGGCGAAGGCGACUCCCUGGCCAAAGACUGACGCUCAUGUGCGAAAGUGUGGGUAGCGAACAGGAUUAGAUACCCUGGUAGUCCACACCGUAAACGCUGUCUACUAGCUGUGUGUGCCUUAAGGCGUGCGUAGCGAAGCUAACGCGCUAAGUAGACCGCCUGGGGAGUACGGCCGCAAGGUUAAAACUCAAAUGAAUUGACGGGGGCCCGCACAAGCGGUGGAGCAUGUGGUUUAAUUCGAUGCAACGCGAAGAACCUUACCUACACUUGACAUGCUGAGAAGUUNCUAGAGAUAGUUUCGUGCNUCGGGAAUCAGACA
rnacentral:rRNA from 1 species